AAGUCAAAGGAUCACUUGCACCACUCCCACUAGAGAACCAUCUGUCGAUAUGCUGUAAGGCUCUAUCAAAUAUUCUUCAUAUGGGUCAAUUCAGUGAACUCAUUCUCUAAUGAGCACCUACAUCCUUGUAUUAAUAUCAUCAUAUAAGUGAUUGUGAGAUCAACCAUCCUCUCCAUUGAGCAUACAUUGGAGCACCAGUCUUAUCGGCAUCAUCGAUCUCCAACUCAAUGAUUCAACAAUUGAGAAUAUUUUAGAUUGAUACUACCA
rnacentral:lncRNA from 1 species